CUUCAACCCUUGAAACGAUGUCUAUGAUGCAGCGGAACUCCCAUUUCCACCUUAUAAUUUAAAAAAGUUCGACCUUGAAGCAUAAUCGCUAUAAACAUUAUAAGCUUUACGUCAACUUUUCUGAAGAGCACAAGAAUGGCAUCAACAGGGCAAUCGCAGUCACUAAAAAGAAGGGAUGCACCGGUAACAAGAGAAGGAGGGGAUCAGCUAACUCUAACCCCUUUAGGUGCUGGAAAUGAAGUGGGUCGAUCCUGUGUUUACAUGUCAUUUAAAGGCAAGACUGUACUGUUUGAUUGUGGAAUUCAUCCGGCUUAUUCGGGUAUGGCUGCUUUGCCCUACUUCGAUGAGAUUGACCCUUCCACUAUUGAUGUACUUCUCGUUACACAGUACGUAUUUCAUCACCUUCUCUUGCUAAUUCUCCUCGCUUGACUAUUG